rnacentral:lncRNA from 1 species
AAGUUAGCGGAUAUGAUUGCAUCCAGGCAGCAGCAGCAGCAACAGCAGCAGCAGCAGCAACAGCAGCAGGCCCAGACACUUGCCCAGGCACAGGCUCAAGUCCAGGCACACCUGCAGCAGGAGCUGCAGCAGCAGGCCGCCCUGAUCCAGUCUCAGCUGUUCAACCCCACGCUCCUUCCUCACUUUCCCAUGACCACCGAGACCUUGCUCCAACUGCAGCAGCAGCAUCAUCUACUCUUCCCCUUUUACAUCCCCAGUGCAGAGUUCCAGCUCAACCCUGAGGUGAGCUUGCCUGUGACCAGCGGGGCACUGACACUGACGGGGUCAGGCCCAGGCCUGCUGGAAGACCUGAAGGCUCAGAUCCAGAUCCCACAGCAGAGCCACCCACAGAUACUGCAGCAGCAGCAGCAGCAGCAACAACAACAGAGUCAGCUCUCUCUUUCCCAGAGUCACUCAGCUCUCCUUCAGCCAAGCCAGCACCCGGAAAAGAAAAACAAA